GCCUACGGCCAGACUGGGCUGAUGGCACCUGAUCCUGUCCGAUGCGGAAACUAAGCAGUCCUGGGCCUGGCUAGUACCUGGAUGGGAGACCGCCCAGGAAUCCCAGGUGCUGUAGGCC
rnacentral:rRNA from 1 species